rnacentral:rRNA from 1 species
UACGGUUACCUUGUUACGACUUCACCCCAAUCACCAACCACACCGUGGGCGCCUGCCUCCCGAAGGUCAGCUCAGCGACUUCUAGUACAGCCAGCUUUCGUGAUGUGACGGGCGGUGUGUACAAGGCCCGGGAACGUAUUCACCGCGGCAUGCUGAUCCGCGAUUACUAGCGAUUCCAGCUUCACGCAGUCGAGUUGCAGACUGCGAUCCGAACUGGGACUGGCUUUUUGGGAUUAGCUCCACCUCGCGGCUUUGCGACCCUUUGUACCAGCCAAUGUAGCACGUGUGUAGCCCGGGACAUAAAGGCCAUGAGGACUUGACGUCAUCCCCACCUUCCUCCGGCUUAUCGCCGGCAGUUUCUCCAGAGUGCCCAGCUUGACCUGAUGGCAACAGGAGACAAGGGUUGCGCUCGUUGCGGGACUUUACCCCACAUCUCACGACACGAGCUGACGACCGCCAUGCGGCACCUCUACACGGGUCCCGAAAGAAAAACCUCCUCUCUGAGGGGAUUCCGUGCAAGUUAAACCCCCCGUAAGGUCUUCGCCGUUCGUCCAAUUAAACCCCCAUGCUUCACCGCUUUGUGCGGGCCCCCGGCCAAUCCCUUUGAAUUUUCAGCCCUGGGAACCGUACUCCCCCAGGGGAAAACUUUAAGGGGUUAACUUUCGGACCAGGGGGGGGUUAUAACCCCCUUACCCCAUG